rnacentral:hammerhead_ribozyme from 1 species
ACCCAGCUGACGGGUCCCAACUCGGACGAAACGCGCAUCCUGGAU